rnacentral:rRNA from 1 species
AUACAGAGGGUGCGAGCGUUAAUCGGAAUUACUGGGCGUAAAGCGCGCGUAGGCGGCUUAUUAAGUCAGAUGUGAAAUCCCCGGGCUCAACCUGGGAACUGCAUCUGAUACUGGUAAGCUAGAGUUUUGGAGAGGGAAGUAGAAUUUCAGGUGUAGCGGUGAAAUGCAUGGAGAUCUGAAGGAAUACCAGUGGCGAAGGCGACUUCCUGGCCAAAAACUGACGCUGAGGUGCGAAAGCGUGGGUAGCAAACGGGAUUAGAAACCCCAGUAGUCC